AUGUGCAGAAAUGCGGACCCGUGGGCGUGCGGGCACCGAGGAUGGAGCGGGCACCGAGCGCCCGCCCGGGGCUGGCCGCGAUCUUCAGCCGCUCUGGAGCGAGCGUGGGGAACAGCGCGGAUCGCACACGGAACGGAACGGAACGGAACGGAACGGAGCCGGCGGCGGGGCGGGGAUGGGCACCGGGGCCGCCACGGGCACAGGGACCGCCGCGGCGGGGCUGCGCUGUGCCCCGAGACCGCGACCUCCGCCGGCGGCAGCGCCCCGGCCCCGCUCCGAUCCCGAUCCCGGCCCCGAUCCCGAAUCCCGGUCCCGGCCCCGCUCCGAUCCCGCUCCGAUCCCGGUCCCGGCCCCGCUCCGUUCCCGGCCCCGCUCCGUUCCCGAUCCCGGCCCCGCUCCGAUCCCGAUCCCGAUCCCGAUCCCGAUCCCGAUCCCGAUCCCGAUCCCGAUCCCGAUCCCGGCCCCGCUCCGAUCCCGGCCCCGCUCCGAUCCCGAUCCCGGCCCCGCUCCGUUCCUGAUCCCGAUCCCGAUCCCGGCCCCGCUCCGAUCCCGGCCCCGCUUCGUUCCUGGCCCGGCCCCGCCCGCCGCCGGCGCUGCCCGGGCGGAGCGGCCGCGCCCCGGGCCGGGCCGGGGGCGGAGCGGGGCCGUGCCGGGCGCUAUUUGGGCCAUGUGAUGCCGGCCCGGCCCCCGCUGGGCGCGCCGGAGCAGCGGGCGCGGGGCUCGGCCUGCCCGGGCACGGCACGGCACGGCACGGCGCGGGGCCAUGGUCCGGCGGGCAGCCCGGGCACGGUAGGAGCCGGAGCCGGGGGCGGGCGGGGCGGAGCGGGGCGGCUCCGCGGCCUCUCCGCGCUCGGUGCCCGCGGAGCGGUGCCAGCGGAGCGGUGCCAGCGGCGGAGCCGGGGCGAGGCCGAGCGCUGGCCGCAGCCCUGCCGGGGCCCGGCGCUGGCAGCGGAGCGGCCCCGGGACACCGAGCGGGCCAUGGGCACCGAGGGGCUGAUGGCCCCGGGGCUCCGCAGCCGCGCCGGGGAUGCCGCGGGAGGAGCGGCUGCGGAGCCCGGGGCCGGGUGCGGGUCUGAGCCCGGAGCCGGGCGCGGGUCGGAGCCCGGUGCCCGGUUAGGGUCGAGCCCGGGGCCCGGUGCGGGUCGGAGCCCGGUGCCCGGUGCGGGUCGGAGCCCGGUGCCCGGUGCGGGUUGA
rnacentral:lncRNA from 1 species